GGCGGUGUAGCUCAGCUGGUUAGAGCACGCGGCUCAUAUCCGCGUUGUCCGGGGUUCAAGUCCCUGCACCGCCACCA
rnacentral:tRNA from 1 species